UCCAUCGGUUGCCUACACAUGCAAGUCGAACGGCAGCACAGAGGAGCUUGCUCCUUGGGUGGCGAGUGGCGGACGGGUGAGGAAUACAUCGGAAUCUACUCUGUCGUGGGGGAUAACGUAGGGAAACUUACGCUAAUACCGCAUACGACCUACGGGUGAAAGCAGGGGAUCUUCGGACCUUGCGCGAUUGAAUGAGCCGAUGUCGGAUUAGCUAGUUGGCGGGGUAAAGGCCCACCAAGGCGACGAUCCGUAGCUGGUCUGAGAGGAUGAUCAGCCACACUGGAACUGAGACACGGUCCAGACUCCUACGGGAGGCAGCAGUGGGGAAUAUUGGACAAUGGGCGCAAGCCUGAUCCAGCCAUACCGCGUGGGUGAAGAAGGCCUUCGGGUUGUAAAGCCCUUUUGUUGGGAAAGAAAUCCAUCUGGUUAAUACCCGGGUGGGAUGACGGUACCCAAAGAAUAAGCACCGGCUAACUUCGUGCCAGCAGCCGCGGUAAUACGAAGGGUGCAAGCGUUACUCGGAAUUACUGGGCGUAAAGCGUGCGUAGGUGGUCGUUUAAGUCCGUUGUGAAAGCCCUGGGCUCAACCUGGGAACUGCAGUGGAUACUGGGCGACUAGAAUGUGGUAGAGGGUAGCGGAAUUCCUGGUGUAGCGUAAAUGGUGGCGUAAAAAAAA
rnacentral:rRNA from 1 species